UGGGGAAUUUUGGACAAUGGGCGAAAGCCUGAUCCAGCAAUGCCGCGUGUGUGAAGAAGGCCUUCGGGUUGUAAAGCACUUUUGUCCGGAAAGAAAUCCUUGGCUCUAAUACAGUCGGGGGAUGACGGUACCGGAAGAAUAAGCACCGGCUAACUACGUGCCAGCAGCCGCGGUAAUACGUAGGGUGCAAGCGUUAAUCGGAAUUACUGGGCGUAAAGCGUGCGCAGGCGGUUUGCUAAGACCGAUGUGAAAUCCCCGGGCUCAACCUGGGAACUGCAUUGGUGACUGGCAGGCUAGAGUAUGGCAGAGGGGGGUAGAAUUCCACGUGUAGCAGUGAAAUGCGUAGAGAUGUGGAGGAAUACCGAUGGCGAAGGCAGCCCCCCUGGGCCAAUACUGACGCUCAUGCACGAAAGCGUGGGGAGCAAACAGGAUUAGAUACCCUGGGUAGUCCACGCCCUAAAACGAUGUCAACUAGUUGUUGGGGAUUCAUUUCCUUAGUAACGUAGCUAACGCGUGAAGUUGACCGCCUGGGGAGUACGGUCGCAAGAUUAAAACUCAAAUGAAUUGACGGGGUCAUAGCUGUUUCCU
rnacentral:rRNA from 1 species